rnacentral:lncRNA from 1 species
AGAAAUUUGAUGAAGACGAAGCACCGCCAACCUUCCAGAGCGUAGGACUAAUCAUCGGAGUAACCGGCAUCGUCGGAAACAGCCUCGCCGAAAUUCUACCUCUAGCAGACACACCAGGCGGUAGAUGGAAAGUCUACGGCGUUGCACGGCGGCCACGACCCUCCUGGAACGCCGAUCAUCCAAUCGAAUACAUCCAAUGCGACAUCACCGAUCCAAACGAAACCCAAACCAAACUCUCCGUUCUCACUGACGUCACACACAUCUUCUACGUCUCUUGGAGUAACCGUCCCUCUGAAGCCGAAAACUGUGAAGUCAACAGCGCAAUGUUACGUAACGUACUCACCGCCGUUAUCCCAAACGCACCGAAUCUCCGCCACGUGUCACUUCAAACCGGUGGAAAACACUAUUUAGGACCGUUUGAUCUGAUCGGGAAGAUUAAUAGUCAUGAGCCGCCGUUCACGGAGGAUUUACCGCGUUUAGAUGCGCCAAAUUUCUAUUACACUCAGGAAGAUAUUUUGUUUGAAGAAACUCAAAAGAAAGAGGGUUUGAGUUGGUCUGUUCAUAGACCUCAAGUUAUAUUUGGAUUUUCACCUUAUAGUUUGAUGAAUCUCGUUGGUACACUUUGUGUUUAUGCUGCAAUUUGCAAGCACGAAGGUGUUCCGUUGAAAUUUCCCGGUACAAAGGGAGCUUGGGAGUCUUAUUCUGUGGCUUCUGAUGCGGAUUUGAUUGCAGAGCAACAUAUUUGGGCCGCAGUGGAUCCUUAUGCUAAGAACGAAGCUUUUAACUGUAGCAAUGGUGAUGUUUUUAGAUGGAAACAACUAUGGAAGGUUUUGGCGGAACAGUUUGGGAUUGAGGAGUAUGGGUUUGACGAGGAAGGUCCUCGUUUGAAGUUGUCGGAGUUGAUGAAGGAUAAGGGUCCUGUUUGGGAUGAGAUUGUGAAGGAGAAUCAACUCGAAGCUACGAAGAUUGAUGAGGUUGGUGAAUGGUGGUUUGUGGAUCUUAUGUUUGGAGGGGAAGGGGCUGUAGAUAGCAUGAAUAAGGCUAAAGAGCAUGGGUUUGUGGGAUUCAGAAACACCAAGAAUUCGCUCAUAAGUUGGAUAGAUAAAACUAGAGCUUACAAGAUUGUUCCAUGAAUGAUGUUUGUGUAAGUAAAACUCGACUUUCUUAAAACUGAAGAGAUUGUGCAUUCAUCCCCGUUUAUCAUUAUGUUGUGUUUGUUGUUACUUUGUUCUACUAUUGAUGUUAUACUUGGGAGAUUAAUUUUGUUUAUGUAAAUGCAUUUGUUUAUGUUUGUAAAGGCUCAAUUUCUGAAAAUUUGUGAUAUAAACGAGUGUUAUACACUUCAACUUGUAAGAAAUUGAGAGAAUCCAACAAGAAUAAUCAAACUUCACUCUUUGACAUUAUGUUAAAAAUUGAAGAGAACAGGACAAGAGUUGAGUUUCAAGGGUAGUCUAUAGAAUGUUAUGUAGUCUUGAUCUUGAUAUGAUAAUACAAAUAAAGGACUUAACUGAUAUUUAUAUAAAUAAUUAUAUAUAAUCCAAUAUAAUGAACCUAAUUGGUGUGUCAAAACUUUAUAGGAAUCCAGUUGCUAAUUACAUUAAUUUGUUAAAUGUUCAUGGUCUAUUACAAGAUAAAUCCUAGUCCCUCCUCUCAAUUUGUUGACAAGCAAAACGGAAUAGGCUUCCUCAUUCCUCCCGUAAUAUGUAUCUCAGAAAACUAUAGCACUACUGUAAUAUUGCAUCAGUUUGAUAUCAUAAGCUGGAGAAGGCUUAUAUGAACAUUUCUAGACCAUUGUUUGGUGGAAAAUAUUAGAACACUUGAUUGAAAAAAUACUGAACUUUUGAAGGGCAGGAAGGCAUAAAUGUAACGUUGUUAGCACUGCAGCCAGAAAGAGCUUUGCCUUACAUGCUGGCGUUAAGUUUUAGUAAAGAGGAUAGAAACUACCAUAAGAAGCUGGUCUUACAUAUACAAAAAUCAUAAAUAAAAUUAUUUGGAUGCACACAACGAUAAAAGAAAUUAAAAGAUGAAAUAAAUCAGGGACACCACUCAACAUCAUUAAAUCAAUUUCUCUUAAAAAAAAGCAUUUGUGUGAGUGUGUCCGAAAGUUAAACACAUAUUUUUUACCUGCCCAUGCUGCCAUAUCUAAUGCUGAAAAUAAUACUAGUACUUCAACAAUUUUAACAAAAAAGACAAUGAAUGGAAAAUAAGCAACAUUUGAUACUAAUUAUAAUGAAGCAGUAGCUGAAAUGUCAUAGUCUGCUAUUAUGUGAUUGGGGCCACUCUACACAAAUCUACAAGUUGAAUAAUGCAAACAAACAUGCAUAUCCUAAAAUACAGUACUCUCAUUAUCUGUGAGGAGCCUUUCUAUAACAUACCAUUAUUUGCCUCUUUGGGGUACUUUCUAUCCUCUUCACAUUCAAUUUGAACUAUGAGCUGGUGGUGGUCUGGAGCUAUCGGCGCUGCCAAGGCAAGGCAACCAUCUCUCUUUACUCUCAUUUUUUAUUUUCACUUGUUAAUAAUUAGUUUCUGUUUAUGCAGAAGAAAUUGGAUGAAGAUGAAGCACCGCAAAGCUUCCAGAAUGUGGCGUUGGUAGUCGGCGUGACUGGCAUUGUUGGCAACAGUCUGGCCGAAAUUCUACCUCUAGCAGACACACCAGGUGGUCGGUGGAAGGUCUAUGGCGUUGCACGGAGGCCACGGCCCUCCUGGAACGCCGAUCACCCAAUCGAAUACAUUCAGCG